GGACCCGUAGCUCAGCUGGAUAGAGCACUUGGCUUCGAACCAAGGGGUCGGGGGUUCGAGUCCCUCCGGGUCUACCA
rnacentral:tRNA from 1 species